UAGUUGAGUUUAAUAAAUCUAUGGAUAUCAUGGUUGGAUGAACCUACUGAAUAUUCAAAAUUUCACAAAGAUGGUGAGAUUACAAGUGAAAACAAAGUUACUUAUUCAAAUUGCUGCUUAAAGACAAGUAUUCUCUAGGAAAAGACAAAUGGAUUUGUAAAACAAUAUUUUACAUAUUUAAAACAUGUAUUCUCUAAAACAUGCAACAUAUGCAUACCACAAUGUUGAUAAAGUUUUGUUGAGUAUUAUAUUGGGUUUAUUCUGAUUUUGGGGAAAUCUGCCCAAGCAAUGACAAUGGAUACAUAGGCUUUACAAACAACAAUAAUGUCUAGCUGUUAUUUUACAUGAGUAAAUUGUGUGAUUUAUAGCAUGGUUAAAAAUGCAGUGCUUUUCUUUUCCUCUCUUCCAUUUCCAUGCUUUGCUCAUUGUUAUGGUUCUGGUUUAUGGUUUGGACUGAUGUUCCUUUAACAGAAAACAACAUAUAUAGUUGUAAUUCAAAUGAUAGAGAAACAAAUAUAAUAAAUGAAACUCGUAAUACAUACACAUGUUUCACUUACGUAAAAUAUUUAAAAGGAAACAAUGAAAUUUCUCAAUGAAAUUUGAGGAGGCAACAAACUGAAAGAGACGGGUAUAUUUUCUAUCUCUGACAAGAUAUGUAGCUUACUCAACAUGUAUCCAAAAUAUUAUAAAAUUAUCCAUCAAAAAAAUUAUGGUAAUACUGCUAUAUGUACCACUUCAGUUGUUCGAGCAUUAGUUAUAUCUCCCUGCACCUGAAUGACACCUUCAAAAGAAAUAAUUUAUUUAAGCACCGAAAAUUGAGUUUGGAGGAUAGAGAAGAAAAAAAGAAGAAAUCACUGAAGGAGAGCUACUCAAUCCAUCAGCAUGUCUGUAAGGGAAACUCCCUUGAAAAUCCAAAGGUUUAAACCAUCAAGAAGCCAAAUGCCUAAUUUAUCCCAUGUCAGCAUUUCAUCCAAUAAAAGCUACAUAGAAGAUGAGUUAUACUCCAACCNAGUGCCCCAAACUGUAGCAUACAUUGUUACCACAACUUUAGCUUCUUUACAUCAACUAAAACAAUUUAAGCUUCCCAAAAUAUAUGAUAAGAAAACCAAGGGGUGGACACUAUAUUCACCAAAAAUGUCAAGCUAUAUGAGUUCAUAAAGAAAUAGAAUUAAAACAAUGUAAGAACAGAUGAUAUACUAAUUUCUUUCCUUUGUCUUGAUGAAAGUCAUAUUUUAUAUAAUAAAAAUAAAAAUACAGUCAUCAGUUGUACUUGAUGACUAACAAAAAUGAAAACAUUAAGUUUGAUAGAGCUUAAUUUCAAUCCUAAGUCUUUGCAUGAAUCUGCAAGUGAGAAACAAUGAAGAAAAGCUACUGCCCUGAUAUGUGUUAUGUGAGAGCAAACACUAUAGAAUUUUCAAAGAAAGCCAACUUACUUUGCAGUAGACAGAAAGUAGGCCCGUGCAUAUGUUAUUAAGGUGCUAUUCAAGUAGCAACAACUAAAUUUAAAAACAUUAAGGAAAAAUUAAAAUUAACUUAUCAAAACUCUUAAAAUAAUCUUAUAUAUUUGACUGUUGUACUACAGUAAUAUGUACACAGCAAAAAAACAUGAGUUAAAGGGGAAAACAUGAACCAAAGCAUGUAAGGGGAAUGUAAUUGGUAUUUUAGCAUUUGAGGUUGCAAACACGAUUGUCAAGGACUUUAGUCUUAUGGAGUCUCUUUCAGCAAAAAGUAUUAAACACUUAAGAGGUUCUUUCACAAUAAAUUCUUAUUAAUAAUUUCCUAAGGACCUCAACAUUAUGCUGUUAUAAUUUCCUCACAAUUCCAAAUUAAAUCAUCAAUAGUUAACAACAUCAAUAUUGCUUUCAAAUUUCUAUAAUGAACAUAUCUCACACUUCAUCAAGAAGUAAGCCAGUACAACCAAACAUUUCCAUAUAUACAAAACAAUUACUAAAAACUAAAGAGAAAAACCUUAAAUACCUUUGAGAAAGCAACGGUAAGACGGCGGAAUGAGAAAGCAAGCCAAGCCGGCGGAAGGAGACAGCACGGAGGGGGGACCCGAGACCGGCGCUGGCAGAGCCUCUGGGUCGUCGACGGUGCAAACGGGACGGGGGACAAGACGCAAAGAUGAUCGGUGGGAAGAGCCGCGAAGAUGGUCGGUGGGAAGAGCCGCGAAGAUGAUCGACGCCGGUGGCCGUUGAACGCCGAACGACGGUGGCAAGGGGGACGACUGACAUUGGAAGGGAGACUUUCUCUCACUAGGGUUUAAUUCUCACAUUCUGAAAAUAAAAUUUGAAUUUCAAAAAAUCUUUGCUUCCAUUUUCUGCCCGUGCCCUCAACUAAUCCACGUCAUUUAAAUUUUAUUUUUUUUCAAAAAGGGGAACCAAUACAAAGCUGACACAUCAUUGGUGUCAAAAAUUUGUCACCCUAGAGGAGUCAAAGUAUCAUUUUCCUACCAUAUUUCAUCUCUUUCUUUUCAAGUCUCAAUGUUUUUUAAUAGCUUUGUAUUGUAUCUGUUUACCAAUUAGCUCCUUCUGCACCAC
rnacentral:lncRNA from 1 species